AGGCGGAAGCAGUCUCGACUGAGCGGGCGGACGGGUGGAGUAACGGACGUGGGCGAACCUGCCUCAGUACAGGGGGAGUAACAGUUAGAAAUGACUGCUAAUACCGCACUAAGACCGCGGUACCGCAUGGUACAGCGGUAAAACUCCGGUGGUAUGAGAUGGGCCCGCGUCUGAUUAGCUAGUUGGCGGGGUAACGGGCCACCCAAGGACGACGAUCAGUAGCCGACCUGAGAGGGUGACCGGCCACAUUGGGGCUGAGACACGGCCCAAACUCCUACGGGAGGCAGCAGUGGGGAAUAUUGCACAAUGGGGGAAACCCUGAUGCAGCGACGCCGCGUGAGCGAUGAAGUAUUUCGGUAUGUAAAGCUCUAUCAGCAGGGAAGAAAAUGACGGUACCUGACUAAGAAGCCCCGGCUAACUACGUG
rnacentral:rRNA from 1 species